UUAUAGUCAUUAGACUUCGCGCUCAGACGGUAAUCAGGCUUCCUUUCAGAAUAGUUUUCACGGGUGCCGUCGGCAGGCUGACCGCCCCUUCCGCAAACGCGGGGGGACGAGCUGCCGAAGCAACUGGGGUUUUUCACAUUGGGUUUAGGCGGUCGGCCCCCGGGAAAGAAUCCCGGGGACUUCUGCCGUCAGGCCCCGAAGGACCGGUAUUUUUUAAUGAUCCUUCCGCAGGUUCACCUACGGAAA
rnacentral:misc_RNA from 1 species